GAUGAAGAACGUAGUAAAAUGCGAUAAGUAAUGUGAAUUGCAGAAUUCAGUGAAUCAUCGAAUCUUUGAACGCACAUUGCGCCCGCCUGUAUUCUGGCGGGCAUGCCUGUUCGAGCGUCAUUUCAACCCUCAAGCACAGCUUGGUGUUGGGACUCGCGUUAAUUCGCGUUCCCCAAAUUGAUUGGCGGUCACGUCGAGCUUCCAUAGCGUAGUAGUAAAACCCUCGUUACUGGUAAUCGUCGCGGCCACGCCGUUAAACCCCAACUUCUGAAUGUUGACCUCGGAUCAGGUAGGAAUACCCGCUGAACUUAAGCAUAUCAAUAAGCGGAGGA
rnacentral:misc_RNA from 1 species